UGUCCUCCAGUGUCGAAGAGAAGUGCGCCAUUUUGGCUCAAACAAAGUCAGAAACAUUUUAUCCUUGAUAAAGUAUUCUAUUGAAAAAACACACAAUACGAUGUGAACGCACUACAGGUCAGAACCCUGGUUUUCCACGAGUAAACAUUUGAUGCAGAUGUAACUUUUUGAUUGUUGUGUUGUGGUUGUAUAGGUAAAAAUAAUGCAUUAGUAUAAUAUCCACAGCUGAGCUCCAGUGGCAGCCAAGCUAACUUAGCGACUGCUGAAUUUAGCUUUGCCGUUUGUUUUGUAAACUGAGGCGAUGGGCGGCUGCUCCGCUCCAAACUGCUCCAAUUCCACCAGUAUUGGGAAACAGCUGUUCAGGUUCCCCAAAGACCCUAUUCGUAAGAAGAAAUGGGUGGUGAAUUGUCGACGUGACUUUGAGCCAACUCCUCACUCCAGACUCUGUCAGGACCAUUUCGAGCAGAGUCAGUUUGAGGAGAUAGCCAGAUCUCCAGCUGGGGGGAAGAAGCUGAAGCCUAAUGCGAUUCCCACUUUGUUCAGUGUUGGAGACCCACCUUACCCUGCAGUCACCACUCCAUACAUCUUACUGCCCCUGAAACCAGAACCAGUGGAGAAGGAGUUGAAUUUUGGAGACCAUGGCUAUGCGAGGCGCACCCCUCUGCCCAGGCUGGAGGAGGAGGACGUAGACAGAUCUGCAGAGGACCAGCAGCCCUGUACUCAAUGUCAGCUUCUCAAGAAACAGCUGGAACAGGAGAUGCAACAUACCGCAAGGCUACAGAAGGAGGCAGAGGAAAUGAAGAAGCGCCUCUAUCGGCUAGACCGGAUUGAAAAGGGCCUCCAGAACUUUCUGUACGAGGAUCAGAUUCGUGCCCUGUCCCUCACUAAGCGCUCCCGACGUGCUGUCUGGUCUCCUGAGACAAUCAUGAAAGCACGAAAGAUCCGUUGUGCAGUUGGCACUAAGGGCUACGAGUAUCUGAGAGAGGUGGGAUACCCGUUACCCUCCUACAGGACCCUGUGUAACCGUCUGGAAACUAAAAUCAUGGUGACAACUGAUAUGAGCUGCGAGGAACUGGCUGAACUGGGUCUCGGGCUCAUGGCCACCUGUGACAGUCCCACACAAGGUGUUGGGGACAAUGACGAGGAAGAACUAAUAGGUGUUUUAUCCUGAUUUUUGCCAGUUUGCAUUACUUAACGACACUAAUGAAUAGGAUGAAUUUGCCGUGUUACGUGUCUAGAGAUGACAGAAGUUGGAGAUGCUUUGUUUGUUACCAAUGAAAGCCAUUUGCUGCAACUUAGUCAUGCUUUGCUUCACAUAAAUCAGAUCCUAAGUGAUUUGAAGCAUCACCCGCUUGUGAUCCACACCACUAAAACACAGAAACAUUAUGUGAGAUGCUAGGGCUUGCAGAUAGCGUAGGGUUCGCUUUAUGGAUUGUGGCUGAUCUGCUGUAUGGUACAAUUUUCAGACACGUGAAGAGACAUACCUCAUUGCACAGGGCCUGUUGAAUUUGCUGCAUGUGAUAAAGGUCGAGUCUGGGACAGCUGAUUUGUUUACACGCGUAAUGGAGGAGUAUUCAGGAUAACCAAAUAUACUAUACAUGGGUAUUCCAGCAUUAUGAAAACUACUGUGGCAUGUAACAUUCACUAUUUGUUUCUGUGCUUAAUGAAACUUGUAUCUUUUGAGAAGAUUUCCCUAAAUAUUAUUUAUCAUUUGAUCAUGGGCGUAAAGGAGCAAACAGUCAAAUAUCUGGGUAAAUGCUUGUUUGGAUUUUGGUCUUAAAAUUAUGUUCACCUUCAUUAUUACAAACUCUACUAAAGUACUGUCAAAAAGUCUUGUUUAUUUCCCUUUAAAGGUGUCUACUUCAUGCAUUUUGUUUUGAUCCCAAUUUCAAAACUGCUACUUGUGCAGAGUUUUUUUUUUUUUUUAAACAUCUGAUUCUACUGUUGACUGAACAGGGUUUAGUCCAUGACCAAACACAAAAUAAAUCCU
ensembl:lncRNA